rnacentral:rRNA from 1 species
GAUGAACGCUGGCGAGAUGCUUUACACAUGCAAGUCGUACGAGAGUCUUUGACUCAAGUGGCGGACGGGUGAGUAACACGUAAGAAUCUGCCUUUAGGAGGGGGACAACAACUGGAAACGGUUGCUAAUACCCCAUAUGCUUUCGAGUGAAAUGGAUUUUUCCGCCUAGAGAGGAGCUUGCGGCUGAUUAGCUUGUUGGUAGGGUAAUGGCUUACCAAGGCGACGAUCAGUAUCUGGUUUGAGAGGACGAUCAGACACACUGGAACUGAGACACGGUCCAGACUCCUGCGGGAGGCAGCAGUGGGGAAUUUUCCGCAAUGGGCGAAAGCCUGACGGAGCAAUCUCGCGUGAGGGAUGACUGCCUAUGGGUUGUAAACCUCUUUUUUCAGGGUAGGAAUAAAUGACGUGUACCUGAAGAAUAAGCAUCGGCUAACUCCGUGCCAGCAGCCGCAGU